rnacentral:rRNA from 1 species
CCCUAAAUACUCCCUAGUGACCGAUAGUGAACCAGUACCGUGAGGGAAAGGUGAAAAGCACCCCGGGAGGGGAGUGAAAUAGAACCUGAAACCGUGUGCCUACAACAAGUUCGAGCCCGUUAAUGGGUGAGAGCGUGCCUUUUGUAGAAUGAACCGGCGAGUUACGUUAUGAUGCGAGGUUAAGUUGAAGAGACGGAGCCGUAGGGAAACCGAGUCUGAAUAGGGCGCCUUAGUAUCAUGACGUAGACCCGAAACCAUGUGACCUACCCAUGAGCAGGUUGAAGGUGCGGUAAGACGCACUGGAGGACCGAACCAGGGCACGUUGAAAAGUGCUUGG